GGGACGGUAGCAUAACGGUAAAUGCAAUAGCAUACUUUCAUUUCACUGAAAAUACUCUUACGAUCUCAGUUCGAAUCUGAGCCGUUCCA